rnacentral:rRNA from 1 species
UACGUAGGGGGCAAGCGUUGUCCGGAUUUAUUGGGCGUAAAGAGCGUGUAGGCGGCUAUGCAGGUCCGCUGUGAAAACUCGAGGCUCAACCUCGAGACGUCGGUGGAAACCGCAUGGCUAGAGUCCGGAAGAGGAGAGUGGAAUUCCCGGUGUAGCGGUGAAAUGCGCGGAUAUCAGGAGGAACACCGAUGGCGAAGGCAGGUCUCUGGGCCACUACUGACGCUGAGAAGCGGAAAGCAUGGGGAGCGAACAGG